GUGCUUGCUUUGGCAGCAUAUUUACUAAAAUUGGAGAAAUACACAGAAGAUUAGCAUGGCCUCGCUGCAAGGAUGACAUGCAAAUUUGUGAAGCAUUCUAUAUUUCU